UACGUAGGUGACAAGCGUUGUCCGGAUUACUGGGCGUAAAGGGCGCGUAGGCGCCUUCUAAGUCAGACGUGAAAUCCCCCGGCUUAACCUGGGAACUGCGUCUGAUACUGGGAGGCUUUGAGUAUGGGAGAGGGAUGUAGAAUUCCAGGUGUAGCGGUGAAAUGCGUAGAUAUCUGGAGGAAUACCGGGUGGCGAAGGCGGCAUCCUGGACCAUAACUGACGCUGAGGCGCGAAAGCGUGGGGAGCAAACAGG
rnacentral:rRNA from 1 species